rnacentral:rRNA from 1 species
GUGCCAGCCGCCGCGGUAAUACGAAGGGGGCUAGCGUUGUUCGGAUUUACUGGGCGUAAAGCGCACGUAGGCGGACUAUUAAGUCAGGGGUGAAAUCCCGGGGCUCAACCCCGGAACUGCCUUUGAUACUGGUAGUCUUGAGUUCGAGAGAGGUGAGUGGAAUUCCGAGUGUAGAGGUGAAAUUCGUAGAUAUUCGGAGGAACACCAGUGGCGAAGGCGGCUCACUGGCUCGAUACUGACGCUGAGGUGCGAAAGCGUGGGGACCAA